UCUGUGUCCCUGUGCAGUACACAACCCCAGCACUGCCUGAAAAAGCAAAUCCCUUUUUUCCUUACACACAAGGCUGGGUUCUCCCUCUGACCUGCCAGGGCUUGGCUUUGAAUUUUCAUGUGAAUCACAAGGUACAAGGUUAGCUGGUUCCAGACAAGGUCACUUCCAUGCACGGCAGCAGCAGUGGGAGUGAGUAACCUCCUAUCCAUCCACAGCUCUUGCUUCUAUUUAUCCAUAGUUUUAUUGAAGAAUUCUUCUCCUCCACACAGACAAAUCGAGCUGACAUCCUGAGAGGUGAUUUUCCUCUUGAAACAAGUACCCAGAAUCUGGUGUCAUCCACAGAGACUAGUAAAUAGAGUUCACACUGCUGCAGAGCUGAGAGCAGCCUUGUGCCAUGUGCAAGUUUGCUUCUAACAAGUUAGCCCUGCUCGUGGAGAUCAAACGCCCUUUAUCUGAACCGACAGCAGUGUGCCAGAACCAGGCAGUACAGCACAGCAUAAUACAACGUGACAGCUAAAUCCAAAGGAAAAGACAGUUCUCCUACAACAAUUAACCACUCUGGAUACUUGGAGUGCUCUGGAGUUACAGCAGCAAUCAAGGAGUCCCCAUAGCAGGCCUGUCAGCUGCAGCGAUGCCCAUCUUUUUUGAAGGCUCAAAGCCAUGCUGCUGGUGC